GUACCUAAUCCCAGCAAACAAAAAUAUUCAACAAGUCUCUGCGAAUUACGAUGAAGAAAAGAUGAAUUUUAAUUAAAAAGAGGUGACUAAAAUGUAAAGAGAUGAGUGAGAGGACUUGCCACAGAAGCAACAAAGACUGAGAAGGCAAUACACUUUGUGAUACCAUUUCCUUACUUUGGGCAGCAGAGCAAUUCGCUGAAGUUGCAGUAACAGAUCAUCUCACAUCCCUUCC